AUUGAACGCUGGCGGCAUGCCUUACACAUGCAAGUCGAACGGCAGCACGGGAGCAAUCCUGGUGGCGAGUGGCGAACGGGUGAGUAAUAUAUCGGAACGUGCCCAGUAGUGGGGGAUAACUGCUCGAAAGAGCAGCUAAUACCGCAUACGACCUGAGGGUGAAAGGGGGGGAUCGCAAGACCUCUCGCUAUUGGAGCGGCCGAUAUCAGAUUAGCUAGUUGGUGGGGUAAAGGCCUACCAAGGCAACGAUCUGUAGUUGGUCUGAGAGGACGACCAGCCACACUGGGACUGAGACACGGCCCAGACUCCCACGGGAGGCAGCGGUGGGGAAUGUUGGACAAUGGGCGCAAGCCUGAUCCAGCCAUGCCGCGUGCGGGAAGAAGGCCUUCGGGUUGUAAACCGCUUUUGUCAGGGAAGAAACGCUCUGGACUAAUACUCUGGGGUAAUGACGGUACCUGAAGAAUAAGCACCGGCUAACUACGUGCCAGCCGCCGCGGUAAUAC
rnacentral:rRNA from 1 species